rnacentral:rRNA from 1 species
AUUGAACGCUGGCGGCAGGCCUAACACAUGCAAGUCGAGCGGGGUUUUCGGACCUAGCGGCGGACGGGUGAGUAAUGCGUAGGAAGCUACCCGAUAGGGGGGGAUACCAGUUGGAAACGACUGUUAAUACCCGCAUAAUGUCUACGGACCAAAGUGUGGGACCUUCGGGCCACAUGCUAUCGGAUGCGCCUACGUGGGAUUAGCUAGUUGGUGAGGUAAUGGCUCACCAAGGCGACGAUCUCUAGCUGGGUUUGAGAGGACGACCAGCCACACUGGGACUGAGACACGGCCCAGACUCCUACGGGAGGCAGCAGUGGGGAAUUUUGGACAAUGGGCGCAAGCCUGAUCCAGCAAUGCCGCGUGCAGGAUGAAGGCC